AUUGAACGCUAGCGGGAUGCUUUACACAUGCAAGUCGAACGGAGUGGCGGACGGGUGAGUAAUAUAUCGGAACGUGCCCAGUAGCGGGGGAUAACUACUGGAAAGAGUGGCUAAUACCGCAUACUAUCAGAUCGGCCGAGAUGGGAUUAGCUUGUUGGUGGGGUAACCGCUCACCAAGGCGACGAUCCGUAGCUGGUUUGAGAGGACGACCAGCCACACGGGAACUGAGACACGGCCCAGACUCCUACGGGAGGCAGCAGUGGGGAAUUUUGGACAAUGGGGGAAACCCUGAUACAGCCAUCCCGCGUGUAUGAUGAAGGCCUUCGGGGUGUAAAGUACUUUUGGCAGAGAAGCGGUAUCUGCAGAAUAAGCACCGGCUAACUACGUGCCAGCAGCCGCGGUAAUAC
rnacentral:rRNA from 1 species